rnacentral:lncRNA from 1 species
CAAGUCCACCCCCACCUCUGCUUGUAGAAAUAAAAAGUGCAGAUUUAUGAGAGGGGAUGGGUCUACCUGGAGUGACUUGAGGAAUACCCAGAAGACCCCGUCCACCUCCUCCUGCUUAGAAUAUGCCUUUUGCUAGCCUGCUGUGAUGCCUGGAAUUUCAUCCUUCACCCAUUGCUGGGCCCACCCACAUAGUUUAAAGCCAAGAUCAGGACAGAGAUGGAGGGAGCUGUCCCCUGGCCACCCUGAUACCUGCUGUUGGAAAUCAACAAACACAAACCCACUUUGUGUUCUGUGAGUGUGUA